rnacentral:tRNA from 1 species
GGAGACGUGGCUGAGCGGUCGAAAGCGACACCCUGCUAAGGUGUUGAUGGAGUAAUUCAUCCGGAGGUUCAAAUCCUCUCGUCUCCG